rnacentral:rRNA from 1 species
UGCAGUCGAGCGACAGAUAAGGAGCUUGCUCCUUUGACGUUAGCGGCGGACGGGUGAGUAACACGUGGAUAACCUACCUAUAAGACUGGGAUAACUUCGGGAAACCGGAGCUAAUACCGGAUAACAUAUUGAACCGCAUGGUUCAAUAGUGAAAGGCGGCUUUGCUGUCACUUAUAGAUGGAUCCGCGCCGUAUUAGCUAGUUGGUAAGGUAACGGCUUACCAAGGCAACGAUACGUAGCCGACCUGAGAGGGUGAUCGGCCACACUGGAACUGAGACACGGUCCAGACUCCUACGGGAGGCAGCAGUAGGGAAUCUUCCGCAAUGGGCGAAAGCCUGACGGAGCAACGCCGCGUGAGUGAUGAAGGUCUUCGGAUCGUAAAACUCUGUUAUCAGGGAAGAACAAAUGUGUAAGUAACUGUGCACAUCUUGACGGUACCUGAUCAGAAAGCCACGGCUAACUACGUGCCAGCAGCCGCGGUAAUACGUAGGUGGCAAGCGUUAUCCGGAAUUAUUGGGCGUAAAGCGCGCGUAGGCGGUUUUUUAAGUCUGAUGUGAAAGCCCACGGCUCAACCGUGGAGGGUCAUUGGAAACUGGAAAACUUGAGUGCAGAAGAGGAAAGUGGAAUUCCAUGUGUAGCGGUGAAAUGCGCAGAGAUAUGGAGGAACACCAGUGGCGAAGGCGACUUUCUGGUCUGUAACUGACGCUGAUGUGCGAAAGCGUGGGGAUCAAACAGGAUUAGAUACCCUGGUAGUCCACGCCGUAAACGAUGAGUGCUAAGUGUUAGGGGGUUUCCGCCCCUUAGUGCUGCAGCUAACGCAUUAAGCACUCCGCCUGGGGAGUACGACCGCAAGGUUGAAACUCAAAGGAAUUGACGGGGACCCGCACAAGCGGUGGAGCAUGUGGUUUAAUUCGAAGCAACGCGAAGAACCUUACCAAAUCUUGACAUCCUUUGACCGCUCUAGAGAUAGAGUCUUCCCCUUCGGGGGACAAAGUGACAGGUGGUGCAUGGUUGUCGUCAGCUCGUGUCGUGAGAUGUUGGGUUAAGUCCCGCAACGAGCGCAACCCUUAAGCUUAGUUGCCAUCAUUAAGUUGGGCACUCUAAGUUGACUGCCG